GCCCCCCUAGUUCAGUGGCAGAACAACGGUUUUGUAAACCGUAGGCGGUAGUUCGAUUCUACCUGGGGGCU
rnacentral:tRNA from 1 species